GGACGAACGCUGGCGGCGUGCUUACCACAUGCAAGUCGAACGGAAAGGCCCUGCUUUUGUGGGGUGCUCGAGUGGCGAACGGGUGAGUAACACGUGAGUAACCUGCCCUUGACUUUGGGAUAACUUCAGGAAACUGGGGCUAAUACCGGAUAGGAGCUCCUGCUGCAUGGUGGGGGUUGGAAAGUUUCGGCGGUUGGGGAUGGACUCGCGGCUUAUCAGCUUGUUGGUGGGGUAGUGGCUUACCAAGGCUUUGACGGGUAGCCGGCCUGAGAGGGUGACCGGCCACAUUGGGACUGAGAUACGGCCCAGACUCCUACGGGAGGCAGCAGCGGGGAAUAUUGCACAAUGGGCGGAAGCCUGAUGCAGCAACGCCGCGUGCGGGAUGACGGCCUUCGGGUUGUAAACCGCUUUCGCCUGUGACGAAGCGUGAGUGACGGUAAUGGGUAAAGAAGCACCGGCUAACUACGUG
rnacentral:rRNA from 1 species